CGCCUUUUGGGGAAAUAGAAGGUCUAACCUGCCCACUGAAGAAUUAAAGGGCCGCGGUAUUUUGACCGUGCAAAGGUAGCAUAAUCAUUAGUCUUCUAAUUAAAGGCUGGAAUGAAUGGUUGAACGAGAUGCUAGCUGUCUCACUGGAAUAAGUAGAAUUUAACUUUUUAGUCAAAAGGCUAAAAUAAUAUUGGAGGACGAGAAGACCCUAUAGAGCUUAACAUAAAUUAUUUUUACUUAGUUUAGAAAAAUUAAGGGUUUAAGGUAGAAUAUGUUUCGUUGGGGUGACGGGAAGAUAUACUAAACUCUUCUAUAAUACAACAUUGAUGAAUGAAUAGAUGAUCCAUGAUUAGUGAUUUAAAGACUAAGUUACCUUAGGGAUAACAGCGUAAUCUUUUUUAAGAGUUCUAAUCGACAAAAAGGGUUGCGACCUCGAUGUUGGACUAAGGGUUAUUCUUAGGUGUAGCAGCUUGAGAUUUAGGUCUGUUCGACCUUUGAACCCUUACAU
rnacentral:rRNA from 1 species